rnacentral:rRNA from 1 species
GAUGAACGCUGGCGGCGUGCUUAACACAUGCAAGUCGAACGAAGCAUUUAAGACAGAUUACUUCGGUUUGAGGUCUUUUAUGACUGAGUGGCGGACGGGUGAGUAACGCGUGGGUAACCUGCCUCAUACAGGGGGAUAGCAGCUGGAAACGGCUGGCAAUACCGCAUAAGCGCACAGUACCACAUGGUACAGUGUGAAAAACUCCGGUGGUAUGAGAUGGACCCGCGUCUGAUUAGCUUGUUGGCGGGGUAACGGCCCACCAAGGCGACGAUCAGUAGCCGACCUGAGAGGGUGACCGGCCACAUUGGGACUGAGACACGGCCCAGACUCCUACGGGAGGCAGCAGUGGGGAAUAUUGCACAAUGGAGGAAACUCUGAUGCAGCGACGCCGCGUGAGUGAAGAAGUAGUUCGCUAUGUAAAGCUCUAUCAGCAGGGAAGAUAGUGACGGUACCUGACUAAGAAGCUCCGGCUAAAUACGUG